UCUAAUAUGGCAGAUUAAUGCAAUGGAUUUAAACCCCAUAUAUAAAGACUAUUCUUUUUUUAGAA
rnacentral:tRNA from 1 species